GUGUCAGCAGCCGCGGUAAUACGGAGGGUGCAAGCGUUGUCCGGAUUUAUUGGGUUUAAAGGGUGCGUAGGCGGCUAUUUAAGUCAGUGGUGAAAGACUCCGGCUCAACCGGAGCAGUGCCAUUGAUACUGGAUAGCUUGAGUGUUGGAGGGGUACAUGGAAUUGAUGGUGUAGCGGUGAAAUGCAUAGAUACCAUCAGGAACACCGAUAGCGAAGGCAUUGUACUGGCCAACAACUGACGCUGAGGCACGAAAGCAUGGGGAGCGAACAGGAUUAGAUACCCUGGUAGUCCAUGCCGUAAACGAUGAUUACUCGCUGUUAUGUUGCAUAAUGUAGCGGCCAAGCGAAAGCGUUAAGUAAUCCACCUGGGGAGUACGCCGGCAACGGUGAA
rnacentral:rRNA from 1 species